CUGGCUCAGGAUGAACGCUGGCGGCGUGCUUAACACAUGCAAGUCGAACGAAGCAUUUAGAACGGAUUACUUCGGUUUGAAGUUCUUUAUGACUGAGUGGCGGACGGGUGAGUAACGCGUGGGUAACCUGCCUUGUACUGGGGGAUAGCAGCUGGAAACGGCUGGUAAUACCGCAUAAGCGCACAAUGUUGCAUGACAUGGUGUGAAAAACUCCGGUGGUAUAAGAUGGACCCGCGUCUGAUUAGCUAGUUGGUGAGAUAACAGCCCACCAAGGCGACGAUCAGUAGCCGACCUGAGAGGGUGACCGGCCACAUUGGGACUGAGACACGGCCCAGACUCCUACGGGAGGCAGCAGUGGGGAAUAUUGCACAAUGGAGGAAACUCUGAUGCAGCGACGCCGCGUGAGUGAAGAAGUAAUUCGUUAUGUAAAGCUCUAUCAGCAGGGAAGAUAGUGACGGUACCUGACUAAGAAGCUCCGGCUAAAUACGUGCCAGCAGCCGCGGUAAUACGUAUGGAGCAAGCGUUAUCCGGAUUUACUGGGUGUAAAGGGAGUGUAGGUGGCCAUGCAAGUCAGAAGUGAAAAUCCGGGGCUCAACCCCGGAACUGCUUUUGAAACUGUGAGGCUAGAGUGCAGGAGGGGUGAGUGGAAUUCCUAGUGUAGCGGUGAAAUGCGUAGAUAUUAGGAGGAACACCAGUGGCGAAGGCGGCUCACUGGACUGUAACUGACACUGAGGCUCGAAAGCGUGGGGAGCAAACAGGAUUAGAUACCCUGGUAGUCCACGC
rnacentral:rRNA from 1 species